ensembl:misc_RNA
CCCUCAUGAGGACUGUGCCUGUCAGCUGCAUGAAUCCUUCCAUUCCAGGAUUUUCCGAGCCUGAUGGAUCUGCAAUGAUAUUUGGCUGCCUGGGGAA